rnacentral:rRNA from 1 species
GGGCCCGCACAAGCAGCGGAGCAUGUGGCUUAAUUCGACGCAACGCGAAGAACCUUACCAAGGCUUGACAUACACCGGAAAGCAUUAGAGAUAGUGCCCCCCUUGUGGUCGGUGUACAGGUGGUGCAUGGCUGUCGUCAGCUCGUGUCGUGAGAUGUUGGGUUAAGUCCCGCAACGAGCGCAACCCUUGUUCUGUGUUGCCAGCAUGCCCUUCGGGGUGAUGGGGACUCACAGGAGACCGCCGGGGUCAACUCGGAGGAAGGUGGGGACGACGUCAAGUCAUCAUGCCCCUUAUGUCUUGGGCUGCACACGUGCUACAAUGGCCGGUACAAUGAGCUGCGAUACCGUGAGGUGGAGCGAAUCUCAAAAAGCCGGUCUCAGUUCGGAUUGGGGUCUGCAACUCGACCCCAUGAAGUCGGAGUUGCUAGUAAUCGCAGAUCAGCAUUGCUGCGGUGAAUACGUUCCCGGGCCUU